UCCAUUCCCCGCCGGGCUGGGGGGGUUCAGGGAGGGGAUUUGGGGAGGGGGUUGCAGUGGGGUUUUCCAAUCCCCGCCGGGCUGGGGGGGUUCAGGGUGGGGAUUUGGGGAGGGGGACUGCAGUGGGGUUUUCCAUUCCCCGCUGGGCUGUGGGGUUCAGGGAGGGGAUUUGGGGAGGGGGGUUGCAGUGGGGUUUUCCAUUCCCCGCCGGGCUGUGGGGUUCAGGGUGGGGAUUUGGGGAGGGGGUUGCAGUGGGGUUUUCCAUUCCCCGCCGGGCUGUGGGGUUCAGGGGGGGGAUUUGGGGAGGGGGGUUGCAGUGGGGUUUUCCAUUCCCCGCCGGGCUGGGGGGUUCAGGGGGGGGAUUUGGGGAGGGGGGUUGCAGUGGGGUUUUCCAUUCCCCGCCGGGCUGGGGGGUUCAGGGUGGGGAUUUGGGGAGGG